GUAAGUUCUGGUUGUCCCUUCUCUUUCCUUCCUGUGUAAGUUCUGGUUGUCCCUUCUCUUUCCUUCCUGUGUAAGUUCUGGUUGUCCCUUCUCUUCCCUUCCUGUGUUCACGGUUAGUAUUUCUUUCCUUGUUUAUUGUUGGUGGAGAUCGGAAGAGCA